GAGGAAAAGUUAGUAGUUAAUACCUGCUAGCCGUUACGUUAACAACAGAAGAAGCACCGGCUAACUCCGUGCCAGCAGCCGCGGUAAUACGGAGGGUGCGAGCGUUAAUCGGAAUUACUGGGCGUAAAGCGCACGCAGGCGGUUUGUUAAGCUAGAUGUGAAAGCCCCGAGCUCAACUUGGGAUGGUCAUUUAGAACUGGCAGACUAGAGUCUUGGAGAGGGGAGUGGAAUUUCUAGUGUAGCGGUGAAAUGCGUAGAUAUUAGAAGGAACAUCAGUGGCGAAGGCGACUCCCUGGCCAAAGACUGACGCUCAUGUGCGAAAGUGUGGGUAGCGAACAGGAUUAGAUACCCUGGUAGUCCACACCGUAAACGCUGUCUACUAGCUGUUUGUGAGUUUAACUCGUGAGUAGCGAAGCUAACGCGCUAAGUAGACCGCCUGGGGAGUACGGCCGCAAGGUUAAAACUCAAAUGAAUUGACGGGG
rnacentral:rRNA from 1 species